rnacentral:rRNA from 1 species
UCGUCAGCUCGUGUCGUGAGAUGUUGGGUUAAGUCCCGCAACGAGCGCAACCCUACGUUUAGUUGCUAACGCGUGAAGGCGAGCACUCUAGACGAACUGCCGUUGACAAAACGGAGGAAGGUGGGGAUGACGUCAAAUCAUCAUGCCCCUUAUGUUCUGGGCUACACACGUGCUACAAUGGCCGGUACAGACGGACGCAAAGCCGCGAGGUGGAGCAAAUCCUAAAAAGCCGGUCUCAGUUCGGAUUGCAGGCUGCAAUUCGCCUGCAUGAAGUCGGAAUCGCUAGUAAUCGCAGGUCAGCAUACUGCGGUGAAUACGUUCCCGGGCCUU